rnacentral:rRNA from 1 species
UUGACCUCGGAUCAGGUAGGACUACCCGCUGAACUUAAGCAUAUCAAUAAGCGGAGGAAAAGAAACCAACAGGGAUUGCCCCAAUAACGGCGAGUGAAGCGGCAACAGCUCAGAUUUGGAAUCUGGCCCCCAGGGCCCGAGUUGUAAUCUGGAGAGGAUGCUUCUGGCGCGGCGCCUUCCGAGUUCCCUGGAACGGGACGCCGGAGAGGGUGAGAGCCCCGUACGGUCGGACGCCCAGCCUUUGUGAAGCUCCUUCGACGAGUCGAGUAGUUUGGGAAUGCUGCUCAAAAUGGGAGGUAAAUUUCUUCUAAAGCUAAAUAUUGGCCAGAGACCGAUAGCGCACAAGUAGAGUGAUCGAAAGAUGAAAAGCACUUUGAAAAGAGGGUUAACCAGUACGUGAAAUUGUUGAAAGGGAAG